AGCGACCGCGCGACCGCCCCUGUGCCUGGCUCUCCAUGCCUGGACGAUGCGACCAUAGCAAACGCCUUACGAAUGAAUCGGAUACUCGUGAACAGACAGUAAGUGCUUCGAGAGACGCUGUGCGCACACUUCUCGCUGCCGAAAGCCGUCUCGUCCAGGAUGCAUUGAAGCGGACACACACAGCCUGCAGCGAAGAACAACGCGACGGACAUUGCUCUACUCCACUUGGCAUCCUCUUAGACCCCCUCGUGAGCCUUGGCCGACGCUUGGCAAUGCUGGUUGGCUGCACUCGUAUCUGACGAGCCCGGCGACGUCUUCCUGCAGCGGUAGCCUUGAGUGCCAGCAUCAGCGUAGUUCCAUCCGUGCUGUUUUGCACACGAGCCAGCUCCUCUCCAAGGCCCUUCAGGAUCUCGAGUUGGGGUAUGUAUGUCCAAAUGAUCAGUCAGUCGAAACUUGGCGCUCUGGAGUCACAACUGCAGCCAAAGAGUUAAACCCUAACAAAGAGUUAACCCUUCAUUAGUCGGAUGCUGAA